rnacentral:rRNA from 1 species
GACGAACGCUGGCGGCGUGCUUAACACAUGCAAGUCGAACGGAGAUUAUUAAUGAAGCUUGCGAUUUAAUAAUCUUAGUGGCGGACGGGUGAGUAACGCGUGGGCAACCUACCCAUAAGCGGGGGAUAACAGUUGGAAACGACUGCUAAUACCGCAUAUUCUGUGAGCAGGAAAGCAGGGGAUCGCAAGACCUUGCGCUGAUUGAGCGGCCGAUGUCAGAUUAGCUAGUUGGUGAGGUAAAGGCUCACCAAGGCGACGAAUCUGUAGCGGGUCUGAGAGGAUGAUCCGCCACACUGGAACUGAGACACGGUCCAGACUCCUACGGGAGGCAGCAGUGGGGAAUUUUGGACAAUGGGGGCAAACCCUGAUCCAGCCAUGCCGCGUGAGUGAAGAAAGGCCUCGGUUGUAAGUACGUACUUCGUUCCGGGACGGAAACGUACGACGAUGGCGUAUAACCUACGUUGCGGAGGACGGUACGGCGACGAAGAAGACACGGACGAACUAACCG